AUACACGAUUUCGUUACACAGAGGAGAAAUUCUGAUUCACCCAGUUUCUAAAGCAAAGCAGAGGUGUCUUUUAGCUUAUCCUAUUUCAUUUCAGAAGCUGUGACAAUGAGAACCAACGAGGUAUGGAAUUCCUAAAGAAAAGGGAUAGGAAGCUAAAGAUAGCACAGGAGGUGGGAUUCAAGGUAAUGAGUUAGGCCGGUUAGUGGACAAGGUAAGACAAAAGCAGAAGAUGACAGCCGUCCUCAGCAACAACACAUAGGUGGGGGGAAAAGGAGAAGAAAAAUCUCAAGGAGGGGUAAUUAAGCGACGUGUUCUCCUGGCCACCUGUCACCUAGCUAAGGGAAGCUGUUGCUCACCCAAGACGCCCGUGUACCAGAGGGGCGUAGCCAGGCAGCAUAAGUCUUCAGGAUGCUUGUCACCUGUAGUCUCUACCAUCCGCAACUUUGAUUACCUGUAUUCAAGAUAGAAUAAGAUAACACUGCCCUCUAACCUAAACCACUCUACUGAAGCUGGCAGAAAGAUGAGCUCCAUGACAGUAGCAAAAAAGACAAAUUUUUUACAUAGUCAAGUUAUUAUAACACAUUCUGAUCAGGAUGGCUUUAAAUUAUACAUGUACAUUUCUUGCCAAAAGGGUUAUUGAAUAAGGCCUAAAGUAAAAUUGAAAGCAAAAGCAUAGUGAGUUUUUUCAUUUUUAUCUUGUGUUCCUAACUGAAGAGAUUCAUUUAGUAGCUGUUUCUCAGGUAACUAAACUUUGCUGUCUCCCUUAGUUUUUUAUGUAUUUAAUUUGUCUUUAAACCUGGAUUCUGUGUGAAGUUCCAUAACAGCUUUGAAAUAUAGGCUUUAUUAGGGAUGUGAAAGCUGAGAAUGCAAUAAUAUUUUCUCCUUAUUAACUCAUCAUAUGAUACCAAGGGGGCAUGAGCGGGAGAAUGAGAACCUUAGAGUGCUCAGAUAUUCAAAUUGGGAAGAGACAAGGCCAACCAAUUGUGUCUUUUCAUGACCCUGCACAUAAUUGAGGUUCCACAUAGAGCUUGAUUCCUUUAUCCUUGAAAUCCUUUGGUUUGAGAGUUGAAUAGUAUCAUAUUUUAUUUUUUUUAAAUAGUCCUAUUUGUCUAAGGAUUUGGGUUGUGUUUCUGCUUUCCUUCUCACUGGUUGGUGAUUUUUUGGAGGCAGGAUUUUUUGGUUGUUUUUUUAAUCUCAUUUCAGAAGAUAUCCCUUGUAAGGGUUGAUACAUGAGUGCUACACAUCUCCACUUUUAACUAUGGCUGUCCACUUUUAAGGGGGAGCUAUGGGUGAUUCUUCAGCUAACUCAAAUUCCAGAAAAUCAGCCUAAGUCGUCAUCAGCAUCAAUUCAUUACUAUAUAUUGAGGAUGCGAACUUACAGUCUAGGGGAGGCUGUGUGGGACCCUGUGCUGCAACACAGGAUUAGCUCUUCAUAUUUUGCAAGAGGAACCGUCUGGGCUGUCUUCCUGUCCCCGGCCUGGAGCUCACACUGCAGUCAUGUGUCAGACCUCUGCAAGGGUAGCAGCUGAUGGAACCUUCCUGUUAAAAUCUGCUGAGUGCUGGCAACCCUAGUAUAGGAAAACCAAGGGAGAUCACACACCCUUCAAAGGUGACUGUUUCAAAGUGACUGCUAUGUUUCCAUGGACUCCUCAAGGAACAUUUACAGAGAGAGAAAAUAAAGGAACUGAAAGAAAUCCAGCAGCCUUCGGGUUACAGGACAGCCAGUUCCUGGAUACCGUUCGUAAGGCCGGGCUUUGCGGAUAAUUCACAUGAGGCAUUCCUCCGAUUCUGACCCGGAGCUCCUUUCAGAAGAGACUCCAGACACAUUGGCAGAAUCACAAAUUGACACAAAAAGGGAGGCUGCCCCGUCUGGAAGUAACUGAGGGACCAACAAAGUGAGCUCAUCAAUCCAGCCCAAGCUUCCGUUGACUACAGGACCAGAGCCGUGUCUCGGAAAGUGGAUGUCAGGGAGAGAGGUGCUGUCAGCAGUGACAUAAACUGGAAUUAACAAAGCUCACGUGUUUGAUUCAUUCUGCAUCAGGGUGAAACAGGGUGAAUUUAAAGGAGCGGAUCUGUGGCUCAUGAACCUUCCCCACCACUUCACCCCAUAUUUCUGCACUAAGUCACCUCCUCAGAGGCUUUUUCUCACCGCCUGUCAUCAGUCCAACCAAUGGUGGCUGGGGUCCUGAGAGAGACGGGACUGUCAGGAGACAGACCAGGAUAGGCCCUUUGGCAGUCACAAAGCUGGAGCACAGCCCGUAUUUGUUGAAUGAAUUAAUGGAAACAUUUAAACUAGACCUCCCUACAAACUGAGAAAAUGCUAAAAUAUCAACUCUAGUUGCAAACUGGAGCCCUCUCUUUAUCAUUUCAACUAUUAAAUGGCUUUUUAACGAGGCUUU